AUUGAACGCUGGCGGCAUGCCUUACACAUGCAAGUCGAACGGUAACAGGUCUUUCGGGAUGCUGACGAGUGGCGAACGGGUGAGUAAUACAUCGGAACGUGCCUAGUAGUGGGGGAUAACUACUCGAAAGAGUGGCUAAUACCGCAUGAGAUCUAUGGAUGAAAGCAGGGGGCCUUCGGGCCUUGUGCUACUAGAGCGGCCGAUGGCAGAUUAGGUAGUUGGUGGGAUAAAAGCUUACCAAGCCGACGAUCUGUAGCUGGUCUGAGAGGACGACCAGCCACACUGGGACUGAGACACGGCCCAGACUCCUACGGGAGGCAGCAGUGGGGAAUUUUGGACAAUGGGCGCAAGCCUGAUCCAGCAAUGCCGCGUGCAGGACGAAGGCCUUCGGGUUGUAAACUGCUUUUGUACGGAACGAAAAGAUACUGGCUAAUACCUGGUGUUGAUGACGGUACCGUAAGAAUAAGCACCGGCUAACUACGUGCCAGCAGCCGCAGUAACAC
rnacentral:rRNA from 1 species